rnacentral:sRNA from 1 species
CGGGAUUUAUAGCGCGCCCUCUGGGGAGGCGGCUGUAGCGGAGAGGCGUGCGGGAUCGGGAUGUCGGGGCUGCUCACGGACCCGGAGCAGAGAGCGCAGGAGCCGCGGCACCCCGGCUUCGUGCUGGGGCUGGAUGUGGGCAGUUCUGUGAUCCGCUGCCACGUCUAUGACCGGGCGGCGCGGGUCUGCGGCUCCAGCGUGCAGAAGGUAGAAAAUCUUUAUCCUCAAAUUGGCUGGGUAGAAAUUGAUCCUGAUGUUCUUUGGAUUCAAUUUGUUGCCGUAAUAAAAGAAGCAGUCAAAGCUGCAGGAAUACAGAUGAAUCAAAUUGUUGGUCUUGGCAUUUCAACACAGAGAGCAACUUUUAUUACGUGGAACAAGAAAACAGGAAAUCAUUUUCACAACUUUAUAAGUUGGCAAGACUUAAGAGCUGUUGAACUUGUAAAAUCUUGGAAUAAUUCUCUUCUUAUGAAGGACAUUAAGAAGGCAUAUACACACACUCCCCAUUCCAGUGAAGUUUAAUAAUAGUCAAUCAAAGGCGUAUGUGGUAGACUUCAGUACUUGUACCUCAGGAAGUUCUAAGGAGGUUUGUGGUGGACCAGAGUUUCACAUGUUAGUGAGAAUUUGUGUUUCUGUCCUUGAGAAAUGGAAAAGAUACAGACUAGAUGAAUGAAAUGCCCAAAUUUCAUCUUUUAUAAAAGCUCAGGAUGGAUAUUGAGAUAUUAUAGAUAACUAGCAGACUGCUACAAGCUCUUAUCAUUACAGGCGUGAUGGCUUGCACCUGUAAUGUCAACACUUUGGAAG